rnacentral:rRNA from 1 species
CCUACGGGUGGCAGCAGUGGGGAAUAUUGCACAAUGGGGGAAACCCUGAUGCAGCGAAGCCGCGAGCGCGAUGAAGUAUUUCGGUAUGUAAAGCUCUAUCAGCAGGGAAGAAAAUGACGGUACCUGACUAAGAAGCCCCGGCUAACUACGUGCCAGCAGCCGCGGUAAUACGUAGGGGGCAAGCGUUAUCCGGAUUUACUGGGGGUAAGGGGAGCGUAGACGGUCCGGCAAGCCAGAUGUGAAAGCCCGGGGCUCAACCCCUGGACUGCAUUUGAAACUGUAAGGCUAGAGUGUCGGAGAGGCAGGCGGAAUUCCUGGUGUAGCGGUGAAAUGCGUAGAUAUUAGGAAGAACACCGGUGGCGAAGGCGGCCUGCUGGGCGAUGACUGACGUUGAGGCUCGAAAGCGUGGGGAGCAAACAGGAUUAGAUACCCGAGUAGUC